rnacentral:rRNA from 1 species
GUCUUAAUUAAAGAUAUUGAAUUUAACUUUUAAGUGAAAAGGCUUAGAUGAUCUGAAGGGACGAUAAGACCCUAUAAAACUUUAUAUUUAAGAGUAGAAAUUAAUUUUAUUUAAAGGUUACUAUUUUAUAAUAUUUGGUUGGGGCGACGGGGAUAGAAAAAAAAGUAACUGUCUUUUUUUUUUACAAUAAUAUUUGGUUUAAUGAUCCUAAAAUGGAUUAAAGAUUAAGUUACUUUAGGGAUAACAGCGUAAUUUUCUUUAAGAGUUCUUAUCGACAGGAAAGUUUGCGACCUCGAUGUUGAAUUAAAGGUUCUUUAUAGAGUAGAAACUAUAAUAGAAGG